UACAGAUCUCCUGGGAAGGGCUUCCCUCU
rnacentral:piRNA from 1 species